UGGGGAAUAUUGCACAAUGGGGGAAACCCUGAUGCAGCGACGCCGCGUGAGUGAAGAAGUAUUUCGGUAUGUAAAGCUCUAUCAGCAGGGAAGAGAUUGACGGUACCUGACUAAGAAGCCCCGGCUAACUACGUGCCAGCAGCCGCGGUAAUACGUAGGGGGCAAGCGUUAUCCGGAUUUACUGGGUGUAAAGGGUGCGCAGGCGGCGCGCCAAGUCAGCGGUCAAAGUUCCGGGCUCAACCCGGUGUCGCCGUUGAAACUGGCGUGCUCGAGUGCGUGCGAGGAAGGCGGAAUGCGUUGUGUAGCGGUGAAAUGCAUAGAUAUGACGCAGAACUCCGAUUGCGAAGGCAGCUUUCCAGCGCGCUACUGACGCUGAGGCACGAAAGCGUGGGGAUCGAACAGGAUUAGAUACCCUGGUAGU
rnacentral:rRNA from 1 species